rnacentral:rRNA from 1 species
UGGGGGGAUAUUGCACAAUGGGCGCAAGCCUGAUGCAGCGACGCCGCGUGAGGGAAGAAGGUUUUCGGAUUGUAAACCUCUGUCUUCAGGGACGAUAAUGACGGUACCUGAGGAGGAAGCCACGGCUAACUACGUGCCAGCAGCCGCGGUAAUACGUAGGUGGCAAGCGUUGUCCGGAAUUACUGGGUGUAAAGGGAGCGUAGGCGGGAUCGCAAGUCCAGUGUGAAAUCUAUCGGCUCAACUGAUAGCUGCGCUGGAAACUGUGGUUCUUGAGUGAAGUAGAGGCAGGCGGAAUUCCUAGUGUAGCGGUGAAAUGCGUAGAUAUUAGGAGGAACACCAGUGGCGAAGGCGGCCUGCUGGGCUUUUACUGACGCUGAGGCUCGAAAGUGUGGGUAGCAAACAGGAUUAGAUACCCUGGUAGU